ACUAACUAGUUUUCAUUUCCUUUUUAUCUCAGAGAAUCCAAAUGGAACCAUAGGAUUCAUAACUCUCAAAACUCUGCAUUCUUUUCAGUAAUACUAAAGUCACAGCUGAGCACAGCAUAAAGAUACACACUGCACAUUGUAUGUUGUGACAUUGUUUUCAAGCCAGGAAAGCAUAUUUUAUCUUCAUAAUGGUCAGCAGUAAAACACAAGUCAGCAAUAUUUACCAAUAUUUACCAAGUUCUCUCCAUUGCCGCCUUCAUCCUACAUAUCUCUUCCCAUGCCAGUUGCAGUCUUCCAUCUCACACAGUAUGUUCUGAACUCUUCCCCCUCCCUCACAGGACUUCAAUUAUUCAUUCAUCUAAUUUGCAUUGCCACCUAUAUCUAUUCAAUAAUCUCUGUGCGGCAAACAAACAAAAAUGAAGGAUUGCCAUAAAAUAAAAUAAAAUAAUUAAAACUACACUGAGACUCAUUAGAAACCCAAAUUGUCAGACACAAGGUUCAGUCUCUCUUGGAUCACAUUUGCCAGACCAAUUUCAGUCUCAUUCUUUCCAGUGCUUGGGAAGUGUAGCUCAUCUCUUGCCAGAAGUCCCUCAUCUUGGAAAUAUGUCCAAACGCUGUUAUCUUGGGUACCAUCAAAGGACCCAGCUCAUAAUAUCCAGUGUUCUCUGUCUUUCUGGAUGAUGUCCUUUGACAAAAAGGCAUGAUAAAAACGCCCUAAUCUUUUUUUAAAAAAUCCUUCUGCCUGGUGUUCUAGGAUCCUUUUCAGUUUCUUCAGGGAUGUGCCUGGUUUUGUCAUUUGGAACCAUCAUUCCACAUGGUUCAGUGGAAACAGAUACUUAACUGGGUUUAAAUGGGAAGUCAUUCUAUUAACAUCUCAAUAUGGUGCUGGAGAAGACUCCUGCGAGUCCCUUGGACUGCAAGGCAAUCAAACUGGUCAGUCCUAGAGGAGAUCAACCCUGACUACUAUUUAGAAGGCCAGAUCCUGAAGAUGAAACUCAAAUAUUUUGGCCACCUAAUGAGAAGGAAGGACUCACUGGAGAAGAGCCUAAUGCUGGGAAAGAUUGAGGGCAAAAGAAGAAAGGGACGACAGAGAACAAGGUGGCUGGAUGGAGUCACUGAAGCAGUAGGCGUGAGCUUAAAUGGACUCCAGAGGAUGGUAGAGGACAGGAAGGCCUAGAGGAACAUUGUCCAUGGGGUCACAAUGGGUCGGACAUGACUUUGCAACUAACAACAAUAACAAAUGUGCCCUCUGUUGAGAUGCUUUGAGAUGUUUUGAGAUGCUAACUGACUGACAUGACCUUGCUUUCUGCAGGAAUAUUUCACCUGGAAACAAGGUGCUGAAUAUUCAGAUAUAACUCAGAAGUAAUCAGGCUCAAUUGAGGCUUUUAGAGGGGGGGGGAGAGAAAUGGGGGAAACCCACCAAUCAGCAGGAUCCUCUUUUUUGCUCCUUUUUUAAUGAUCUAGCAAGCUUCUGCCUAGUUACCUCUCUGGGCCUCACCUUUUUUUUCUUUUCAACAGAGCUUUUUUCCCUCUUUCAUGGACAAUUCCUGCAGAUGGUAACUGGUAACUUUCUGUUCUGUAUUCUCUGUUCUUUUAAUUAAACUGACUUGAGCCCAGCUUCAAUGUUUUGAUGUGCAAACCAAAAGUUCGAGAAAUGCUUUUGAGCCCCAAAUCAAGGCCAUGGAUGUUAUUAAGUAAUAUCUGAAACCUCUACAAGAUAUUUAAGAGCUACUUAAAUAGAGAAUUGGAAUUCUCUAUUUUUUUUAAGGAAUAAAAUACCACAUUUUUCGUAGAACCUCAUGAAAUCAAGAUUAUAUUAAAUAUGAAUAGUACUUUUUUCCUUCUCUUCUUUUUUUUUUUAAAGUGCAGUGAUUAUGAUGGGAAAACAAUGUUUAUUGGCACCAAUGUGAAACAAAGAAGGGUCUUUUACACAGCUAAUGUCUUGAUAGUUAGCAAGAUGUAUUUUCUCCACAAUUAGAUUUGCUUGAAUUAUUUUACUGGAUCAAGGAAAAAUAUUUGAAUUUGUUACUAGAAAGUCAUUAACAAUUAGUCUGGCUUGCAGUCCAGAAUUAGGUUCUGACUAGGAAUAUUUUUUUGAGUUCUUGAGCACACUUACAACAGUAAUUCAUUUUUAAUAUUUGUUACAGUUCCAGAGUUUCUGCCUUAAUGUAACUGUUUUUUCUAUAGUACUGUAUUAUGCUACCACUAAUAAAUUUCCCAAAUCCUGUGUUUGCAUAACUCACUUGUCCAUGACCUGCAUGUUUAGAAAGUGGCAUAACAAGCCAAAUAAAUGAAUAAAUGCAAUAUAUUUAUAUUUUAUAA